rnacentral:rRNA from 1 species
UGCAAGUCGAGCGAGCAGAACCAGCAGAUUUACUUCGGUAAUGACGCUGGGGACGCGAGCGGCGGAUGGGUGAGUAACACGUGGGGAACCUGCCCCAUAGUCUAGGAUACCACUUGGAAACAGGUGCUAAUACCGGAUAAUAAAGCAGAUCGCAUGAUCAGCUUAUAAAAGGCGGCGUAAGCUGUCGCUAUGGGAUGGCCCCGCGGUGCAUUAGCUAGUUGGUAAGGUAACGGCUUACCAAGGCAAUGAUGCAUAGCCGAGUUGAGAGACUGAACGGCCACAUUGGGACUGAGACACGGCCCAAACUCCUACGGGAGGCAGCAGUAGGGAAUCUUCCACAAUGGACGCAAGUCUGAUGGAGCAACGCCGCGUGAGUGAAGAAGGUUUUCGGAUCGUAAAGCUCUGUUGUUGGUGAAGAAGGAUAGAGGUAGUAACUGGCCUUUAUUUGACGGUAAUCAACCAGAAAGUCACGGCUAACUACGUGCCAGCAGCCGCGGUAAUACGUAGGUGGCAAGCGUUGUCCGGAUUUAUUGGGCGUAAAGCGAGCGCAGGCGGAAGAAUAAGUCUGAUGUGAAAGCCCUCGGCUUAACCGAGGAAUUGCAUCGGAAACUGUUUUUCUUGAGUGCAGAAGAGGAGAGUGGAACUCCAUGUGUAGCGGUGGAAUGCGUAGAUAUAUGGAAGAACACCAGUGGCGAAGGCGGCUCUCUGGUCUGCAACUGACGCUGAGGCUCGAAAGCAUGGGUAGCGAACAGGAUUAGAUACCCUGGUAGUCCAUGCCGUAAACGAUGAGUGCUAAGUGUUGGGAGGUUUCCGCCUCUCAGUGCUGCAGCUAACGCAUUAAGCACUCCGCCUGGGGAGUACGACCGCAAGGUUGAAACUCAAAGGAAUUGACGGGGGCCCGCACAAGCGGUGGAGCAUGUGGUUUAAUUCGAAGCAACGCGAAGAACCUUACCAGGUCUUGACAUCUAGUGCCAUCCUAAGAGAUUAGGAGUUCCCUUCGGGGACGCUAAGACAGGUGGUGCAUGGCUGUCGUCAGCUCGUGUCGUGAGAUGUUGGGUUAAGUCCCGCAACGAGCGCAACCCUUAUUAUUAGUUGCCAGCAUUAAGUUGGGCACUCUAAUGAGACUGCCGGUGACAAACCGGAGGAAGGUGGGGAUGACGUCAAGUCAUCAUGCCCCUUAUGACCUGGGCUACACACGUGCUACAAUGGGCAGUACAACGAGAAGCGAGCCUGCGAAGGCAAGCGAAUCUCUGAAAGCUGUUCUCAGUUCGGACUGCAGUCUGCAACUCGACUGCACGAAGCUGGAAUCGCUAGUAAUCGCGGAUCAGAACGCCGCGGUGAAUACGUUCCCGGGCCUUGUACACACCGCCCGUCACACCAUGGAAGUCUGCAAUGCCCAAAGCCGGUGGCCUAACCUUCGGGAAGGAGCCGUCUAAGGCAGGCA